rnacentral:lncRNA from 10 species
CAGUUAAGGAGGCGCUGUCCUGGCGUCGGAUGGGGACGGGGAACGCGGCGAGGGCGCUGCGACCUCUGCCCACCUGGCCCGGCCGCAGUCUCGGAGUUCCUGUUCCUCACAGGAGCUAAUUAUUUAUGACAGCUGCAUGGUUCCCCUCCCCCAGUUACUCAGUGCUUGGCACUCGGCACCCCUUACUCAGCACUCAGUACCGCACUCGGCCUCAGGGGACCUGGGCAGAGGGAAGCAGGGAGUCUCCCGCGGAAACUCUUGCUCUGCCAAAGUGUGAUGUGAUCUGACUGCUGCUCAGGGCCUGGACAGCAAAUGAGGAAGACUUAUUGCAGAAAUUCAGAGCCUAGUGACCUGGACCAGGGUGGAGGCAGCAGAGGAGAGAAACAGAUGAUCAAGACUCUGCUAGCAGGAGAAAAAGAGAGAAAAGAGAGAUGAAAAAGUCUUGUGUGACCAGAAGCUUAUCAACCUUGUGUGCUGUUGGCUUACUUUAACAUUUACAGCAGAUGAUAGAAUUGUGUUCAGAUGACACAAUAAGGUAUCAAAUGACUUCACGAAAGCAAGACGGCACUGAACCCCAAGUUUGUGCCUUCAGUCUCUCGCCUCGGCACCUAGGUAAUCCUUUGCCCACAGGACCACACCACCCUCCCCCAGUGAGAGGAACCAGAGUGACGGGAAAGGGAAGCCCCACACAACCAGCACUCGAGGCCCGGCCCACUGGGAGCACUGGGUGGCCUGGCCUGGGAAAGCCCCUUGUGCCCCUUGGGUGGCACCAGCAGGUACCCGUGGGAGCUCCAGCAGCACCAGACAAACCAAGCAGACCCAAGAUAGCACCAUGAAGGCUCUGAACAUCAAAUUGUCACUGGAAGCAUGGCCUGCAGAAGCGGGCCACAAUCCUCACACUAAACCUAAGCAGAGCGACUGGCUGCAAAAAGGAAAGACUUAAAAAAUAGGAUCCAGAGACCUUCCUCUUCCUCAUGAGUUUUCCAAAUCACACUUGAUUGAAACAAAAACGUUAGCACCAUCUGAGACUCAGGACAGUGAUAUUUAUGAGCGGGGAGGGUAAAGGAAGCUCCAUGCUAUAAGUUCCGCACCUCGCUUGAAGUAGGAAAAGGCCACGGCACGCAGGACUCACUGAGUGGCUACCAAAAGAAACCAACGCUGAGCUAUAGCAUGGCAAGCUAAUACUACAUUUUGGAAAAGCACGCAUAUUGAAAUUUGCGUCAUUUGUGCUAUUAUUUGUGCUAUUAUAAAGACCUGACGCCUGGUGGAACCGUGCUUACAAUGUGUGGGUACUUAAACGCGUGUUCUGAAAAACUCCUCUGCUGCUUCUUCCUCUGAUUUCACAUUCGGUAAACCUGCAAGUGCACACAUUUCAUCCCCUUGCAAGACUGUUGUCAGUGCUCAGUAAGUCUACAUUUUACAUAGGAUGAGGUGAUUACAAAGAUGGCACCAUGGAUAAACGACACUACCUGUGUUAGCAGUUGUGACUUUUCCUUCUUUUUUUUUUCUUUUUCUUUUCUUUUCUUUUUCUUUCUUUUUUUUUCUUUCUUUUUUUUUUUGAGAUGGAGUCUCACUCUGUUGUCCAGACUGAAGUACAAUGGCAUGAUCUCAGCUCACUGCAACCUCUCCCUCCUGGGUUCAAGCAAUUCUCCUGCCUCAGCUUCCUGAGUAGCUGGAAUUGCAGGUGCCUGCCACCAUGCCUGGCUAAUUUUCUAUAUUUAGUAGAGACAGGAUUGCGCCAUGUUGGCCAGGCUGGUCUUGAACUCCUGACCUCAGGUGAUCCGCCUGCCUUGGCCUCCUGAAGUGCUGGGAUUACAGGCAUGAGCCACCGUGCCCGGCCAUGACUUUUCAGAUGUUAUCUAAUAAGCCACUAUUCUAAGGGGCAGGCACACAUCCACAUUCGAGUGCCGCCUCUGUUGUCUGCUCUUUAACCAUGUGCUGCCAUCUAAAGAAUGAAUGGAUUCUGCUAAAUUGGCACCAAGAAGUGAAGAUACUGCAGAAAGUGGGAGACUAGAAAAACAGGCCAGGGUCACUAACCAGAAAUGGAGACCAGAGCAGCAGCCCUCCAAAUGGCAGUGUGCUUAAUCAACGCAUAAAUGCUCUAGAUGAACAUUCCAUGACAAAGUAACAUUUAAC